AGGCUCUGUCUUACUAUCUGCGCUCUGGUCACUCUCCUUGUGAAUAAAACAACUGUUUAAGUUCUUAUGCACUGAAGUCAAUUAAAAUCCCCGAUUGGAUUUAACAACUUUGCGGAUAAGAGUGAUUCGUUGGAAUCAUUUGCUGGGAGCUGCUUUAUGUCAGAGGGAAUCCCUCUUCGGGGACACAUCCUUGCCUCAGAAUGUGGGAGGAUACCAGAGAGAACACUGUUUUCAUGAACCAUCGGGCCCCAGCUAAUGGCCGCUACAAACCAACGUGCUACGAACAUGCUGCCAAUUGCUACACACACGCAUUCCUCAUUGUUCCGGCCAUUGUGGGCAGUGCCCUCCUCCAUCGGCUGUCUGAUGACUGCUGGGAGAAGAUAACAGCAUGGAUCUACGGGAUGGGCCUUUGCGCCCUCUUCAUAGUCUCCACAGUGUUUCACAUAGUAUCAUGGAAGAAGAGCCACUUGAGAACAGUGGAGCAUUGUUUCCACAUGUGCGAUCGGAUGGUCAUCUACUUCUUCAUUGCUGCUUCCUACGCCCCAUGGUUAAAUCUCCGUGAACUUGGACCCCUGGCAUCUCAUAUGCGUUGGUUUAUCUGGCUCAUGGCAGCUGGAGGAACCAUUUAUGUAUUUCUCUACCAUGAAAA
rnacentral:lncRNA from 1 species